rnacentral:misc_RNA from 1 species
CAUGGACGUGACCUUCACCCAAUUGGUGUCACUUCCAGCCGGCUAAAGUCUCAUUGGCAUAAAGGAACUACGUACAUGAUAAAUUCGAGGAAUCAGUGGUCGGAUGCGACAGCCAAACGGAUGAAAGAUGAGAAAAUUACCUUUGCACUGUAAUUAAUUAAAUAAACAAUAAAUUUUGUGGAUAUUGACACCUACCAGUCAGUCAAAUGGACAGUGAUGCUAUUUUUCAAAAUAUAGUAUAGAUUUUCCAAAUUUUCCGAUCACACUGGCUAGAAAAUGUACAACGAUCAGUGCGAUUCUUUUCACGCAAAAUACAAAGUGCUGGAGAAAAUUGGCGAAGGAUCCUUUUCCGAAGUGCUCAAAUGUCUGAACAAAGGCACUGGCGUGCUGUAUGCGGCCAAACGGCUGAAGAAAUUCUACAAAUCGGAAUCGUCGAUUUUAACGUGUGCAGAAGUGGUGGCGGCGCAGAAAGUACCCUUUCACUCCAACAUCCUCAACAUCUUCGAGUACCACUAGUCAGGUUACCUUCAUUUUUGAGCUGAAGGACAUGAGCUUGUAUGAUCAUCUGGAGAAUCGCAACAAGUCGGAGAACCAGCAUAGGGGCCUAACGGAACAGAAGGCCAAAGAAUAUCUAUGUCAGUUGCUGCGGGGCUGGAGCAUCUUCACCGAAGUUUUCCCCCAUAGACCGCACGCGCUUGCAGAGACUAAGAAGGUAUGAAACUAUCAAGCUGGCGGACUUGGGGUCACUGAGGGGCAUCUACAGCGUCCCCCCUUACACUGAGUACAUCUCAACUCGCUGGUAUCGCUCCCCGGAGUGCCUCCUCUCCAAUGGCAACUACGGCCCCAAAAUGGACGUAUGGGCGGCCGGUUGCGUUUUUUUCGAAAUGUUGACGUUAGUUCAACCCGUCCAGCAUUGAAGGACGUUA